GUGGAUGGGGAAACAAUAGAGUGUGGCCUCAGAGAGAACUCGAUCUCAUAUUUAUUUCAAGGCUUCUCUAAAAAAACAGGCCAAGUUUAACAAAUUUGUACACAAGAUGGAGGUGGUAACAACAACACUAGAACCAGUGCCAGCAGAAUCCUAUCAACAAACUUCGACUACAGAAAAGAUGCAUCAUCUGUUGAUGGUCGUGUGAAUGUCCUGCAUAUCCAGUACAGCAAGGUGCGACCAGACACGACACCAGCAGCGAACUUUUGUGUGACGAAGAAGGGAGAUAAGAGAUGGAAUGACUGUGGAGGAUAUACUUAAGAAAUACCCUUUCUUGAAAACACCCUCAGGGUUGUGUUAUGAAGUUGACCGAAUGCAUUCAUCAACUGUCAGUUUAAGCCAGCGCUUCAAGGACGGCUUUACCAGUAUUGUGCCAAAGGUGCUUGAGCUUGUUCAAAGAAAUGCUCCAUUGGCCAAAGUCUACAAAGAAGCAAGAGAAGAGAUGCUUGCAGAAUAUCUACCAGUGUGAUGCUGAUACUCCAUACCCAACCAUACAGUUGGUAGAAACUGACUGGAAGAUGGCUUUCUCCUUUUCGAAGUGGAUGGUGUGGAGGUGUGCAGGUGAAUAGGAGUUGAAGAAGGGAUAAUUGCAGCCUUCAGUGCUUACUACGUUUUCAACUUUGCUUAUCCACCCUACAUGAAGAAUACGCUGACCUUCCUGCAGCAUGCCAUAACAAAGAUUACUGAGGUGGGUGGCAAGCCCCUUCCAAUAACUGUCACCCGAAUAAUGAAUAUUCUGUGCUAAAAUUUUGAAAACAUGGACUGUCACAAUGAUCUGGAGAAUACCAAUGAGCUACAGCCUAGGACAGAUGAAAUGCAUCCACCUCGUAGGAAUGAGCUUUUGACGAACUUUAAAGAAAAUCUCUUCGGUUUCAUUCUUAAAUGUAGAGAGAAUAAAAAUCACAUUCCACAGACUGUCCAGCAAGAAAUGGUGAAUGGCAUCAUUUUUAAUUUUUAAUUUUGUUAUUUUAAAGAGAAUUACGACUAUGAUUCACACUUCCAUGCGUACGCAGUAAAAGUUGACUUUGAAUGGAGUGUUAUAAAACCAGGGCAAGAGAUGGACUUUCAGGCCCCUUGACACGUACUCUGCUGAUGAUAAAUUGUUUGUGAUCCUCAAGAAUGUUUAAAAAGUUCAAAUUUGUGUUUGUGAUGAUGUUUUAAGGGUAUAAAGUUACAAUCAAUGAAAUGUGUACUGUUGGAAAAAGAUUGCUUUGAAAUUCUUGAUGUUAAAAACUGUUUUUAGAGAAAGUAGAAUGUAGUAGAAAAAGUACUUAAAAUGAGAUCUAGUGCAGUGCUGUUUUGAAAAGUGAAAUUACUUUAAUAUUUUAUUACAUGGUUAAAAAAAAAAUUGUAAAUGAAAUGCAAAGGAAAAAAGUUUUAAUAGUAAGCUUAAUAUUCUUGCGGUUUACAAUUUUAUAAAACAUUUAAAAAGUUUGAGUAUAAACAACUGUUUUUUAAAAAAGUUAAAUUGCUCCGUGUAUGCAUCCUGUUAUGACACAUUGUGAUAGAGCUUAAAACAUUCAUCCUGUGAAAAAUGUGAGAAAGUAAUAGUUUUGAAUGUUUAAAAAAAUGUGUGUUUGUGAUAAAAUGGUAAGGGUAUUAAGUUAUAGUUAAUGAAAUGUGUACUGUUGGGUGGAAAAUUGCUUUUUGAUUCUUGUGUUUGAAUUCUUGUGUGAUU